GUUCGGAAACCUUUUUCCAGUGGCUUACUGGAAUACCGGAAGAACCUAAUCACUGCGGUACUGGGUUUAGGUUCUCAAUAGCCUCGAUUCCAGGCCGCUCUCAAUUGAGAAAGGGCUGGGAUCAAGGCUAAGUUCUGCAUGCAGACCAGCCCCUCCCCUUACUUAAAAGAAGAUUUUUAAGCAACCACAUGUAGAUAUAGCCAUCAAGGUGCCUUUCUUUCAUUGUCGGUUUUACCUGUGACUAUUUCUAUGGAAGCUGUAAGAACUGAAUGUGCCCCUUUCUCCACUUCAACAACUACAAUAUUGCUGUCGCUGUACCGAAAGGGUAUGACAGGUUGGGGAAAAAAAAGCAACCAUUCCUGGAAAUGGCAAAGGACCGUACAGGCCUCAACGAGAAGCAGAUAAGGAACUGGAUACGCCGAGAAAACAUGAAAAUUAAGCAUGGUGGCAUUGAUGCGAAUGAAUCUGGUCCCUCUGAUCAGUACAACAUUCCGAAGAAGUCAAGCGGGCCAUGGCACCAAUUUCUAAAAGAGUACGGAAAAUCUGAAGGUGGAAAGAGUGCCAUUGCAACCGCUGGAAAUCCAGGUGUUUUUAACAAGGAAGCCAGUGAAGCUUAUAAUAACUUGUCUAGCGAUGAGAAACAAGCUCUGAGAGAAUGUUCUGAAACGAAUGAGCGACUCUCCCAUAAAGGUGUCCUAAAAGAAGCUGAGAAACGUUUUCGGAAGAUUCAGAAGCUGGUAUGUUAAUUAUAUAUACGUGUAUAUACGCAUACAGCACAUUAUAAUUAUAUUUGAACCACGCAGAGCACCUAAUUAUAAAACCAUACCGUAUAUAGCGGGUAAUUUGGGGAGCCUAUAUAAUUAUAUUGUUUGGCGAUUGAAGUAUUAUUGCCGAUUUUUAA